UUUAUAAAAAGUAUGAUUCCUGCACAAUAAAAUUGUAGGCAGUGAUAAAUUUCACCUUUGCCAUUAAAUAAAAGUAGAAGGAAGACGAUGAAGAAGAUGAUGAUGGUGAAGAAGAUGAAGGAGGAGACGCCCCAAUGAAGAAGACACCGCAGAUGAUUUUAAAGCAGAACCCUGUGUAGGACCUGCAACCUGUCUAGGGUUUGUCCCGCCUCUCGCCUGAUUGACAGCUGGGACGGGAUCCAGCAAAUCCACCACUACUGACGAGGACAAAGCGGCGAGAGGUGCAUUAUGCCACUGAGUCACAGCACUCCAGCUCAGCGGAGAGGCUGCAAAGGUUCACUCACUGGUGGACAGUGAAACUGAUCUUCCUCAGCUAGCAUUAAUAAAUGAUGCCUGCAAGUCACAUUGGGCUAAGUAAUCGAGCGCCAAGUGGCCGAGCUAUGCUGCACAAUUCAUGAAGAGGUUACCCAAGAGUCAGAGCGAGUACAAUUAGAGCACGGUGUUCAGGCUGCAAAUGUAGGAACUGCUCUCAGGACAUGACUACUACUACUAUUUUGUACCGACUUUACAAUACAGACAUUUAACGAGCUGAAUAAACAAUAGCAUUAUUGACCCUAAAAGCUCUUGUUAAAAUAGCAACAAAUAGUUUUACCGAUCGAUAAGACAGAUUGAUGUCUUUAUUCAGACGAUCUCUGGUCGUCUCGUAUCCCAAUUUCACAUCAUCUAUAAUUUCAGAAGUCUAAUUACAGUAAAAGAUGGUGAGAUUUCUUUGCCGUCCGUCAUAAAAGUUGCAUGAACGCCGUGAUCCUUGCUUUAUCACAGUGCUUCACUUUUUCUCUCAUCCCCGUGAAUAGAAGAGAGUUGCGAAGAAGCAACUUUGUGUGUUCUGACGACGGAAGUCCCGUUAAUGCUGGAAGUUGCUAUGCAUUAUAGACAAGCCACAGCUAAGGAGAGCAUAUUCCAACACAGACACUCAAGUCACUUUGAAUAAUUUACCUCCACAAUCUCCAUGAGGCUUGGCUAUACGAGACCACAGUCUGGCGCCAAAUGCUUGUCAUUACGCAUAUGCAGAAUUGAAGAGGUGUUCAGAUAGUUUAAACACUGACGGGCAUUCUGGGAGGCCUUUGUGACAGUGGCUCCCACUUGCAGGCGCAUUUCACUGAUGCUUAUGUGCUGAUUGUUUAAGAACUGAACUCUGCGUUUCCUCGUUGGUUCUCGCGGCUUAUGCAAGAUGGCUCCUCCGCUUGAGAGACGAGGGACUGUGGCCAAUUUAAAAUAAACCUCGGUUUUCCUUUAUAUUUGCCAUCACUGAUGAAACACAUUACGCUAUCUUGGUGUAUGAUUGGAUGAUGUUCUCCCAUUGGAUCUAUUGCAGCAGGCUGUUCUGUUCUACUCGUCCCUGCCGCAUAAAUACUUCACAUGCAGACACCGAGUUUACUCUCACGGAGGUUUUGCAAAAUGAAAUAAAUAUUAAAGCUAAUUAAUUUACUUGUAUGACAGGAAGUGCUUAAAGUACGAUUUGAAUUACUCAGUGAAGCGUCUGCGAUGCUGAUUUCCCAGCGCUCUUGAAUUAAACAAUGACGUUUAUGCAAAGAUGGACCACUAAUGCGAUUCUGUUUGGAUAUGAAGUCUGUGCAGAGACAGCAGAUGAGAUGACCGCGUCCUGGGAGGAGGCCUGGGAGUGGAGCAGAGACGUGGCUCAGACAGAGAGGAACCUCUCUGAUUAAAGGCCUUAUUCCUCUGCUCCUCUUUUAGGCUGCCUCCAAGCUGUAGAGGAUACAAAGCGCCGCCACCACCUUACCUCUAAUCGUUUGGUCAAUACAACGACACAAUAGAACAUGUGCUCAUUAUAUUGUGUCUGCUGAAACGUGUCACUGUAAAAGUGAUUUCAAAGAUAACAGUGACUGUGUAGUUGUACAUAAAUGCUCAUUUCAUGCUGCUCACCUGUUUCGAGAAUUUCCAACCUCUACAUUUACCAACUUCACAUUAUCAUUUAACAUCUGAGACAGGUUUUACUCAAGCAAUAUUAAAAAAUAGAACCAAUUCAUACAGUCCAUAUGAUUAAAAUGUAGGAUUAUGUAGAGAAAUUGAAAGAGGGUCUAUUACACCAUUAUUCUAACUGAAUAUUGUAUUUCUAUGUUUGUCUUUGGAAGCAGUGAUAUUGUUGCCAUGGGCAACUGCACUACCCUAAGCAGCUCUGUGGUGCCUCGAUAUAGAAAGAUUUUUGGUUAGUUAAUCUCCUCUGGGUGGAAAUAAAACAUCAUCUAGGAAACAACCUAGUGAGUGUGAACAGUGAAUAUGCUGUAGUAAAUAGUGCAUGUUUGUACACAGCAGCUUAACACAGAGAAUAUGCCACAGUAAAUACGCAAUGACAAGCAUCCUCCAUAGUCUGACAUAAACUAAAUGUACUGUACUAGCGUGUGACAUUUCUCCUAUAACAGGCUGUAAUAUCUCUGCUUUUAUACUAAGAGGCCAGAACUCUCACACAAGCUGGCCGCUCCGAUUUCUGACCCGUGUACCGUCCCUGAGAGUUCCUGAUUGAACCCUUAAGUGUGACGGAUCUUUUGGCCUUUGUGCACUCUGAUGGGCAUUUAGGCCAAUCAAUUUGUGUCCAGACAUGAUUUCCUGUUUAAAAAGUUUGCAGUCAAAACACACUGAACAGUAAUAGAUUCAACAUAAAUAAAUAAAACACGCUGGCACUCACACACCCCUGCUGAGGCAAACGAUCACUAGUAUUGAGUGAUAAUUGACACUUUCCACAUACGUACAUGUGAUCUUCAUGCUCAUUAUCACUGCGGAGCUGUGGCUGGCUACAGUAACUCUAUAUUACCUACUGCAUAUAAGCGCUGUGACGAGACUUGCACAAAGUUCUGCACAACUUGAACCAGCUUGAACUGUGAGCUGCUCCAGCUCGCCUAUUUAUACACAGCAGGUUGGGAGUUAGUUGGAUCUUUGCUAGAUCCAAAUGAAAGCAAGAGAAUCCCUUUGUUUCUGACAGCAGGCACAUCUGGGGGUGUUGCAAGGCAGGAUGAAAAGACAAUGAAGGGAAGCGUUCCCUUUUAAAUACAGUGUGUUAUUCCUGUAAAACGUGCUGUUGACUAAUUCUGGCAGCGGAGACACAAACACACACACACACACACACACACACACACACACACACAAACACACACACACACACACACACACACGAGUGGAGCUGUGGUGAGUCUAAUCAGGUGUAGCACCGUGUGCCAUUAUUAACUCACACUGACACUAUGCUGUGACGUCCAUGGUCCACUGGGAGUUGUAUCGUAAAUUCUCCCAUGGUGAAAAGCUACUGUACAGUAGAUUCUGUGAUUCCUUUAGCACUGAUGUCAUGUUUUUGUCUGUCUGUUGAUGACUCAUAAGAGAAAUGAAAUGCAGCAUGGGUAUUCUUGGAACACGUACUGUCUGAUUUAUUAUUUCCCCAUUUAUGAUCAUCUGUUCCCCCGCGCCAGUGGUUUGUAGUGCCUCAUGAAGCCAAAUCCCCUAGGAGGAUUACUGUCCACUGGGGCAGAUCAACGGGUGCAUAAGGUGAGGCGUCAGCCCUGGCACUGAAUGAAUAACGUAUGAACCAAUCUAUGGUGCAUCAGAAUAAACAAAGGGAGACGUUAAGAGUCAAAAAGAAAGCUGCCAUGUUUUCGACAUCAGCUGUAACUUUUACCUGCAUGCUCUCACCAUACAAACACAAACCUGACUCCUCUUUGGGAAUGUGUGUGUGUGAUGAUCGCACUUAUCACUGACACAUGACAUUACAUUACAUUAAAACUAUAUUAUUUCACAGUAAAAGUCAUACAUGUUUACAUGAGUUCAGCAAAAAUAGAUGAAUAAAAUAAAACAACCUACAAUCCAUGAGCUUUUGUAAGAUUUCAAUAUACUGUAUGUCCUGUAGGUUUCAUGACAUUAACACUGGCACUUGUCAUAGAGCAACAACCUGCACCCACUGUGAUAUAUUCACUUACUGGAUCUAGAGACAGUUUAGAUGCGUGGACUCAUCGGCUUCAGCAUCCACCCCCACUCCUCUCCACUGCCUCACUUGCUCAUUCAUUUCACAUCAUACAUGAUUGCACAACUUGCUCUCUUGAGCAAUCAAUAACUCAGCAUUUUAAUCACUCUGUUGCGCACAAUGCUCCUGUGUCACACUCUAACGCAUGCCUUUGAUCGUACAUAGCACCUUUUCCGUACAGGCACAGCCACAGCCAGGCGAACACACAGGCAGCAUCCAUUGGACUCACCCUGACA